rnacentral:tRNA from 1 species
GGGUUGGCUUAGUGGUUAUAGAGCUUAGGUCUCGUAACCGAAAGGUCGCGGGAUCGAAUCCCGCUAGAGGCUG